CACGCUUGGAGUUGUCCUCGUUUACAAAACAAGCCAAAUAGCUUUUUUCGAGCUAAAUGAAAUGAGAAAAACCCUCAAAGACCAAGACGGCCUCUCUGAGAAAGCCUAGAACCCUUGCCAAAUUUAAGAAGAAAAGGAACCAGCCGCCAGCAUCAACCUCAAGGCCAGAAGAAUGAGAGGAAGACAAAGAGCAGAAGCGACAACAAUGAGACGAGCUUUCUGGAGUUAUCUCACGAACUGAAUUAAGAUGUCGAGGCCUCGGGUAAACAAAUGAAGGCGGCUUUCGGAUCCUCAUGGAAAGAAGUUCUCUGUGAAGGGCUGCUUGUGGAAGCGAAAAUGGAUCCAGGUAGUCGAGCUGUUCUUAUUAUUUGAACUUCUGCCUUGAGAGCUAUUUAACUUCUAAGGUCUAGUAGUUUUUCAUUUUGUCUGAAAUGAAUUAUGUUAUAACUAAAUCGUUCUGAUUCUGAGAUUCAUAUGAAAUUAACAUUGUUGUUGUAAUGUAGAACGCUUGCUUUUCUUCAUUUUCUAUAUGACCGUUUAGAAUAAAUGAUUAUGAUUCUCCA